UGCAGUCGAACGCCGACGCACCUUCGGGUGUUUAGGAGUGGCAGACGGGUGAGUAACGCGUGGGAACCUACCUUUAGGUACGGAAUAACGCAGGGAAACUUGUGCUAAUACCGUAUGAUCCCUUCGGGGCAAAGAUUUAUCGCCUAAAGAUGGGCCCGCGUUAGAUUAGCUAGUUGGUGAGGUAAUGGCUCACCAAGGCGACGAUCUAUAGCUGGUUUGAGAGGAUGAUCAGCCACACUGGAACUGAGACACGGUCCAGACUCCUACGGGAGGCAGCAGUGGGGAAUCUUGCACAAUGGGCGAAAGCCUGAUGCAGCCAUGCCGCGUGAGUGAAGAAGGCCUUAGGGUUGUAAAGCUCUUUCGCUAGGGAUGAUAAUGACAGUACCUAGUAAAGAAGUUCCGGCUAACUCCGUGCCAGCAGCCGCGGUAAUACGGAGGGAACUAGCGUUGUUCGGAAUUACUGGGCGUAAAGCGCGCGUAGGCGGACCAAUCAGUCAGAGGUGAAAUCCCGGGGCUUAACCUCGGAACUGCCUUUGAUACUGUUGGUCUAGAGUUCGAGAGAGGUAAGUGGAAUUCCCAGUGUAGAGGUGAAAUUCGUAGAUAUUGGGAAGAACACCAGUGGCGA
rnacentral:rRNA from 1 species